rnacentral:rRNA from 1 species
UACGAAGGGGGCUAGCGUUGCUCGGAAUUACUGGGCGUAAAGGGAGCGUAGGCGGGUUAUCAAGUUGGAGGUGAAAGCCCAGGGCUCAACCUUGGAAUUGCCUUCAAAACUGAUAACCUAGAGUAUGGGAGAGGUAAGCGGAACUCCGAGUGUAGAGGUGAAAUUCGUAGAUAUUCGGAAGAACACCAGUGGCGAAGGCGGCUUACUGGCCCAUUACUGACGCUGAGGCUCGAAAGCGUGGGGAGCAAACAGG